CGCACAAUCUUAUGCAAGCACUGACUAGGCGCACGCGCUUCGCGGCAGCUGCGCAUGACGUGUGAACCGCUGGCAUCGCUGUCGCCGCACCUUGCUUUGCAAGCGCUAUUCAGUGUCGCUGCACCUAUCUCGUCAAUAUGCACUACCUACCUGCGUGAGCUGCUGUGGCCGUCGCGGCUACGCGACGGAGUUCCAUUGAGUGCCAGCGUUGUGGUGCUCACAGUCGUCGUUACAGGGUUGCGACUGAGCAAGUCACUGUGCUUUGGGGAUGGCGUUUACCUGCGCCGACGAGUGCUCCUCCUUGUAAGGAUUCGCGCGUUCGUUGUGCGGUGGGAGGCGAGUUGCAUGGCGGAGGUGGAGGCCUGUUGCGCAGAUGUUGACGGUCAGGCUGCUGCCGUGCUCGCCCGCUACAUGGGAUGGCGAGCGGCAAAAAGGGUUGGCGCGUGGUGGACGGCAGCGGUGGUGGCAGACGUGCCAUCAUUGCAGCCGCCGAUAGCGUCGCCGACGUCGUUUUCCGGAAUUGUGCCGUCCUUUGCCUUCUCAAACGAUAUAGUGCUGGAGGAAGCGCUCGAGCUCGCCUACAUGGCUGACAGCGUCCUGCGACUCGCCGAUGAUCGACGGUGGCUGGAGCGGUUUGUGACGAUCCUCCAAUACGUUCUACUUCGCCGCGCCUCUUUGAUAGAGGAGGCACAGCUGUACCGGUGCCUCCGCGAGUGUGCCCUUUUUCCAUGCCACCCUGCGACACGCAAGCGCAAGGGGGCCGUCCAGGGAGAUCGAGGAACGCAGCGCAGCACGUGGGCUGCGGCGUGGCGAGUGCACCACCGCCCUACGUGGUUGGCACCACUCUCCGGCGGUGCCCGGUUUCUCUGCCUACCGCUCAGUUACUUCCCAGUGGAGGCCGUGCUGCCCUACGUUGCGUGCGAGACGUGGCUUAGCGACCGUCUGCUGAGCACAAUCCUGCCCCGGUGGGAACGGCUUUGCGUGCGCUCUUUGCGGCGGAAGCAGAAACUCGCGCCACCUGAGCCGACACUCGUGACUGGUGCGCGAGCGGAAAAGAUGUCCAGCAAGGUACAAUACUGGUUUCUACGCUACACCGCCCCAAUCCUGCGCACCUGUGUCGAGCAGCAGCGCGCCGCCGCGCGCCGCUUCUGCAUGCAGGAGCUGAGCACCGCUGCCGGCUAUGACAACGCCGCUUCGAGUGGCCUUCCACGCAGCUCUCUUGCGCUCUUGUGGCGAUGUCUGAGAAGCACGCGCACGUACUCGGCAUCAGCAGCACCUACUUCAGCGGACAGUGCCGUGCCGGAUAAGGACACGUCUAGACUUGUGCGCCGCGUGCUGAUUCUUCGUGCUGUCUCCCAGGCUGUCACCGUCAUCUUUCAGGUGUGCUGCCCUCGCCUCAACGUCCGCUACGUCACGGAACUGAUGGUUGCUGGUUACUGCGCGCAGGGAGAGCGCACCUCGCCAUCUCCAAAGCCCACCACCACCACCACCGACGCAGCAGCAGCGUCGCCUGUAGACACGCUGCUGCGCUCUAUGUCUGCUGAAAUGGGAUGGGCACUGGUAGCAGGCGUAGCAGAGGCGCUGCUGACACGCUUCGCAGGCAUCACUGGCCACCAGUUGUCGGUGCUGCUCGCCGACGCCGCUACGCGACGAGUUGAGCAAGAGCUCCUGUGCGUCGACGAAGCCUUCUACUGUCGCUGGCUCCGCUGUGCAUCUGGUGAGGCAGACAGUGUGGAAGUUACCGGCUUAGCAACAUCGCCCGGUAGGCGAAUGUCCCCUGUUGGCAUGCUGCCAGCGCGCCCCUUCAUCACAGCCGAUGAUGUCCUCGCAGUGGGGCGGCGUGGUGGCGAGCGAAUGCUCGCGUUGCACGACGCUGUAGUGAAGCGGUCACUGCGGUGUGUCGCACUUAUCGCUCGCGCGGCGGUCACGCGAGAGUGGCGGCCACUAGUUGGUGCGGCUGUGACGGCCUGGGUGGAUGCGCCGGCGCUGCUCUCUUCCUUGUCUGUUGCGGUGGGCUACUCGACUCCAUCCGAUGUCGCGCGGCUGCUAUCGCGAAGGGAGGAGAGCCUGCCAAGCAGGAGCCCCGUCGGCCUGCGGCUGCUGCUUGAGGUUCUCGUGGAUGAGGAGAGUGACACAACAGCACCACCGGACACACGGCAGCGACGCCGACGGCAGCUGCGGAAUCCGUACUUGGCGCUCGUCGCGUGCUCGAAUGUUUGGACGUUCGAGCACCUGUUGGCUGACACAAAACGGAGCGUGGCGAACCUCUGCGCCCAUGUGUGCCAACUAAAGGCCGUGUACGCCGCCGUUGCCGUGUAUCCGUACGCGGUUUCGUCGGUGAGACACGUCACGACGGCAGCAGACGUCAUCGCCGCAAUGCAGGAGGAUGUGCGUUGCGUGCUGUACUACAGCGUCUACCAGAUGGAGCAUACAUGCAGGAAACGGUGUGGCGGCGCUGUCGCAGCGUCGCCGCUGCUGCACCCGCUUCUGGACCCUGAGGAGACGGCGCUGCUUCAGCAGCCGAGCGCGCUCUCCUACCUCCCUGCGCAUGUGGACUAUUUUGACCUGUUCUCUCUACCGUACCGCUUUGUUCUGCGGCAGUUGGGGCUGGAGAUGGUGUUUGCUUACCGGACCGCAGCGGGCAUGCGGCAGGAGUCGCGGCAGAUGGCCGAGGAAUGGUGGGUGCAGGCGCUCUUCAACAGCUCCUUCAACCCCCUCACGUCGGCACUGCACGAGGCUUUCCAGCUCACUGCAUCCUGUGCGACUGUGCUGCUCCUCUGCUUGCAGUUCGUGGACGGGAUGUGGGUGGUGUGUCCGCUUCCGUUGCCUGUUCUUCUCCGGCAAGCUCACGCGGUGCAAUUCUACCGCGAUCUUCUGCGCAGUGGUGUGACAGCGCAGCGCCUCGAGGACGGCGUAGCUCCGUUGCAGCAGUUGUGUGAGAACCUGCCCCACGCCGUCGUGUCGGAUGCGGCAACGCUGCUGCGCUCUUCGUUGCAGGGUAAGAGCUCCUCCGCGGCACCCCUCUCCGCGCUUCAGCGGCGCCGCCGCCACUGGCGUCAGGUGCUGACUGCGAGUCGACCAGAGCUCUGCUUUAAUGCAGACGAUGACAUUGUCGGAGGACUGCGUCUCCGCGGCGGCGUCAGCUGGCACCACGUGUACUUCACUUACCCUCAACUCUUUGUGGCCCCCAACACAGAAGACACAGGGCAGGAGAGCGUAAGCGACACCUGUGGUGUGCGACCCACCAUCGCUGACGCAUGCUUUGCGUGUCCCGCGGUGGGUAUGACGGCCGUGGUUGGCCCAAGUGGGGCGGGAAAGAGUUCGCUCAAUCUGCUGCUGCGGCGCCUCUACGACCCGGUCGCCGUGGUGGAGCUCGCUCACGAGGGCGGAACGGCGCGGUCGCCUCCCGACCAGCAGCUGGGCGCCUAUGUUGACCUGAAUCAUGUGGGUGCCACCGCUGAUGCAGAGGACGUUCUUGUCGAGGUCCUGCGUCUCGCCCUCGUUGAAAGCGCACUGCCGCCGCCAUCCAACAACGUGGCACCCCACUCUCCAUCUCUCCUCAGUGCGGCUGAUGGGCAGAGAGUCACGUCGCAGCCUUCGCCGACGGCCUCUGCCGCCCCGGUUACCUCACCCCGUUACCGUCUGCGAGCGCAGCCCGGCUAUAUCGCCCUUGACGGCAUUCCGCUAUCCCUUUUUGCCGCCGCCUACGUGCGCCAGUGGCUCGGCUGGCUGCGGCAAACACCGCAUGUGCAUCCGCGCCAAAGCUUCUUGUCCAACGUGCGCGGCUCAGCGAUGCACGUGACGGUGCGCGACGUACAACGGGCCCUGCGCGUGUGCGGCUGCGACGCCUUCGUGGAAGAGAAGCAGCGCACUUUGCGAGAUGCCGCUGGCCACUUAAGCGGUGGUGAAGCUCAGCGGCUGGCAUUGGCAAGCGUUGUCGCGGUCUUGCUCGCGCGCUCUCGGGUGGAGCUGCUAAACGGCAUGCCAUUGCACGACAGCGACGUUGGCACGGCGGCAGCAGCAGCGGCAGUUGGCGGGUUGGUGCUUGACGAGCCAACGAGCAACCUCGAUGCCGCCAACGAGAACCACCUUCUGGCUGCACUGGAAGCCUUGCAGGGAGGAGGCGGUGAAGCUGAUUCGGAGUGUGGGACAGGGUUGCCCCUCUUUACAUGGAUGAUAUCGCACCGCAUGUCGUCGCUGCGCUUGGCGCAGCACAUGGUCGUCGUGGAGAACGGCCGUGUCACGGCGAGUGGACCCUCUGCAGAAGUAACGGAAGCAAACUUGUUCGCGAAGACACAGCUGCAGCUGCAGCAGCUCACGGAUAUAUCGGCGUCGGCGCGCGCCGACGCGGCUCCUUAGCGUGCAACGAGUGGUGGUGGUGGCGGAGUAUUCUAGGUGCGUGUAUCUGUGUUUUUGCGUUAAUGGCAGUGCAGUGGUGCUACGUGCUCGCCUGUAUGUGCCUUUGGCAGUGCAUGUUCAACACCUCGCCGCCCACUCCGUUGCUGCUUCGCCGCAGCUGGUCUCCGCAUCACAUACGACGACGGCGCGGCAUGUCACUGGCUGGGGCCCCUCAUCCCUCCUAGCUGGACGGACGUCCCUGCGAAGUCUUUUCGUCGGAACCGCUUGAUGUGUGUUGGCCGGUCCUUACGGAUGCAGCGGCGGCGCUUCGUUUCACUUCUCAAGCACUUGUCCACCACGUAGCACAGGCAGGACAGC
rnacentral:misc_RNA from 1 species